GCAGGCCAUGGAUUGUCCCCGCCUAAUGACAAACUGCUUGUCCUUUCCCGUCAGCGUUUUUUUUCUAUUCUUUUGCAGUAAUUUUUUUGUCAGAGCUUGACCUCUGUUGAGAAAACCCUCUUUUUAUUUUUCAAAAAAAGCAUUUAUGAAGCAGGAAAUGAGGGCUGAAGAAAAGGAAAAGAGUGUCAGAUGAAUGGACAGAGAAAGGGGGACAGAGGCAAAGAAUGAGAGAAUGGAGAGCGUGGUCUGCGAGAGAAAGAGAGAGAGAGAGAGAGAGGUGGGAGAAAGAGUGCCGGUGCUGGCAAGAAAAACAGGAGGGGGAAGAGCAGAGAAGGGGGACCAGUAGGGGAUAAACUUUGGAAGGAGGGACGGCCGGAUAGGAAUCGUCCAAAUCGCAGGGAAAAAGAGGGAAAAGAACAAAACUCUAGAAUGAGAAGAAGCUGGACUUCAUUUCUUUGCGGUCGUAUAUUUUUUUUUCUGGCUCCUUGACAUGAUUUUUCAUCACUUCUCCGAUCACCCUCUCAUUCCUCUGAAUGCCGUGGUCAACCAUAGAAGCUCCCCAGUGAGAGGAGAGCCAUGGGAAAACCUCAGACUAGAUCUUGGGCGUGAGGAUUGGAUCCAGUCUGUUUUGUACAGAUGUGCAACGCUACGUGUCGCGGUGGACUGCAGCGGCAUCGAUAAAAAAAAACAAUGUCACUGAAAACAUCCAAGACCUGCAGUCAAGAGACAGUCAUCCCCUCGCUGCCUUUUCAUUUGUAGUCUUCCUAAUGCUGCGCAAUGCACCUGAAAAUAUUUGUUCCCUUAAAAUAAUAAAAUAAAUAAAAUAAUAAAAGUGGUGAAAAGUUGUUGUUUUGUUGAAUACCAUGUACAUCCAAUAAAUACUGAAAAUGUUGUUUUGAA
ensembl:lncRNA